AUAGACCAAAAAGAAGAAGAAACAGUUUUCGAAUUUCUUGUACUGGAGAAAAUGUUUUCGGCUUUGUCGAAAAUGUUUUCGUCGUUUAUAUAUAUCUUACUUCUUUGUUCCGCUUACGCUCAUCAGUAUUUAAUGAUAAGCACUGUAUGUGACUUGAUCGACAUAAAGUACAGUUUUCAAUGCGGGGAUGUUUCUUGUGAGGGGCCAUUACAGUACUGUUCCGAUGACAAUGUUUGUCUGUACUGUUCGAUGUAUUUGUGUCAGAGUCCAACUCCGCCCAGUCAGUGUCAACUUCAGUGUAAGAAACUUCAACUUGGGAACUUUACAGAACAUUGUGGUGAUGAGAUGAUGAAACAAAAGAGUAAUUCUACAAAAGAUCAUGAAAGUGACAUGCAUGGGUUUUGCAUUGAUAUUUAUUACUUCUCUGCAUUUUGUGCUGUAUCGGUAGUUAUUGCUACCAUCAUCAUAAUCACUGCAUCCCAACUGUGCAAAAAGUACAGGGCUCGAAAAAAUCAUGCCUUUGUCAAUGUCAACCAUUUUCACAGAUGUUGCUGUUUCAGUUACCCAGAAAAUCGUAAACAAAACGCAACAUGCCCCAGCGAAGAAAUGACAGCAAUUUGUGUCCCAAGUGGAAAAUGAGCAACAUAUCCCACUGAUAAAUUAAGUAAGGAAGACUAAUGAUCAACACAUGGAUUUCAAUGUUCCAUUUUAAAUGCUUUUUUGUAAUUUAUCAAAUUCAACCCUUCAAUAUUCUUUUAAGUACCCCCAAGAAAUAAAUAAAAAAUUUAAGAAUCAGUGUGCAUGUAUAUAAUAAAAUAUUUGGCCAUCUUAUGCACCUG